rnacentral:ncRNA from 1 species
CCUGUUGAGUUUAAGCAUAUUAAUAAGCAGAGGAAAAGAAACUUACCAAGAUUCCUUUAGUAACGGCGAGCGAACCAGGAAUAGCCCAGCUUAAGAAUCGGGCGCCCUCGGCAUUCUAAUUGUAGUCUGGAAAAGCGUCCUCGGCGGCGGACCAGGCCCAAGUCCCUUGGAAGGGGGCGCCAGAGAGGGUGAGAGCCCCGUCAUGCUCGGACCCUGUCGCAACACGAGGCGCUGUCUACGAGUCGGGUUGUUUGAGAAUGCAGCCCAAAUCGGGCAGUAAAUUCCGUCUAAGGCUAAAUACGGGCAAGAGACCGAUAGCGAACAAGUAUUGCAAGG